UGUGUGGGCCUCAUUCAAUCUGUUGAAGGCCUGAAUAGAAGAAAAGGCUGAAUAAGAAAAAAUUCUUGUUUUGGCCAUUGCACCCAGUUUUUUGCAAAGCUUGAAACUAUUUCAAAGUAUUGGGUUGAUUAGGAUCAUCCCAUUGGUUAAUAAAUAAAUGUGUUUGUGCUUUUAAAAAUAAUUCUUUCUGACUGACUCUCUUCAGACUGGGACACUGGUCUUCUCCUUCCUUUGGACUCAGACUCAGACUUAGACUGGAAUUUACAACAUCAACUCACCUGGGUUUCCAGCUUGCCAACUUCAGAUCUUGGACUUCUCAUCUUCUAUAAUCAUGAUCUGUUCCAGAAGGAACUGCUGGAUCAAAGCAUGUGCGAACUCUUAAGGCUUCUGAUACAUAUUGCCAAAUUACCACUCGAAGGACUUACCAGCAGUGAAUGGGAGAACCUCUUCCCCAGGGUCCUGACCCACCCAACCAUAAACACACAAUAAGGAAGUAAGGGGGAUGGGGGAGGGAUAUUAAUGUUUUAAUUUGUUCUUUUGUUUAUAAGUAAAGAAAAAUUUGUUUAUUCCUUAUGA
rnacentral:lncRNA from 10 species